UGAAGGGCUUAGAAUGCCAAACAGAGCAUUUCAUAUUUGCUCCUGGAGGCAAUAGGGAGCCUCUAGGAGUUGUCGGGGGAGUUGAGGAUUAGGUGGUGACAUGAUGGGACCUGAUCUUUAGGAGAAUCAAUUUGGUGAAUGGAGGAUGGAUUGGAGUUGGGAGAAACUUGAAAUAGGCAGACCCACCAGCAGGCUACCAUAGUAGUCCAGGCAUGGGGUGAUGAAGGCCUGCACCAGAGUGGUGGCUCUGUCAGCGAAGAGAAAGAGAUAUUCAAGAGAUAUUACACAGAUGGGAGAUGAAAUGAUUUGAAAUAAAGGGAAAUUUGUUGCCUAUGGAACAGGUAUUCCACAAGGAGCAUUGGAAAGAUUGGGUGGUGUGAGAGUUACUUAGGGGUGAGAGGGUUGGGGGGAUGGGAAAAAGUAAUUGGCUGGUAGGGGGGGUGGAAUGUGGUUUGGAUGAUGAUCUUCAGGGGCUCACACUCACUAAGAUGAGAAGGGUAUGUCCAGGUGUGAGAAUAUUCACCAUUAAAUGGAGGGCACCACUCUUCUUCCCAAUGGAGGCUGGAGAUAGGGCUGGAGAAAAGUGCAGUAUGAGAUGGGAGGCAUACAUUCGGACAGUCAGAUGGGAAACCCUGCUUCCCUAGUCCUCUUCCCUCUGAACGGUAGAGACUAGGCAGGAAAAGAUUACAGCAAGAGGUGAAAGUCAAAUCUGUGCAGUAAUAAACAGAGUCAGAAGUUCCAUUCCCCACCAAUUUUCCUCUUCCCUCAAGAGACAGGCACAGCAGGAGAUGAAGACGUGAAGUGAAAAGGAGUGCUCCCAGGAAGAGCUUAGCAGUCUAAUUCCUGUGCACAAAUGUCCUAUCACAGCUGGCACCGUUAUCUUUGAAAAGAUUAUUCCAGUGAAGAGCUUCGCAGUCUCCCUUUCUGGACAAAUUUCAUUUUGAAAAGAUCACUGUUUUUUCAGAAAGGAGAGAGACCAGAGGAUAACACAGGAUAAGUAACUUGGUUACCUUGACAGGUCUGGAUUAUUCCCAGGAAGACCAAUCUACCCCUUGAAAACAAAUUUCAUAUUGACAAGGUCACUGUUUCUUUUCAAAGGCCAGAGAGCUGAGGAUGAGUGAGGUCAUGUGACUUGGCCCUCUUGACAUGUCUGGUUUAUUCCCAGGAAGAGCCGAGCAACCUUCCCCUAGUGGACAGAUUUCAUUUUGACAAGCUCACUGUUUCCUUUUCAAAGGAGAGAGAGAGCUGAGGAGGAGUGAGGUCACAUGACUUACCCCUAGUGACAUGUCUGGAGGGAGAUAUCCUGGAAGAUUUGAGAAGUGGCCCUCUCAUUCACAAAUGUCCUCAGGAUUAUUCCCAGGAAGAGCUGGAAUAAUGUUCCUCUUGUGGACAAAUUUCAUUUUGGGGAAGUCACUUUCUUUUCAAAGGAGAGAGAGCUGAGAAGGAGUAAGGAAGGUCAUGUGAGUUCGCACUCUUGACAUGGCUGGAAGAAGGGAAGGCAGAAGGAAAGGCAAAAGGAUCACCAGGAAGAGGCAGAAAAGUUUCAUUCAUCCUAAAAGAGAGGUGAAAAUAGAAGACUGUGACUUUAAAUCUUUGGCAGUAGACCAACUGAAAGUAACUGGCGCUAUAAUUUCAAGGGCUAGCACUAAAUAGCCCUUAGAAAAAUUGAAAUUUACACUUUACCAUUAGUGACUAUAAAUCCAGAUUUGAUUUGGUCCUGAAACUAAAUCAUCCUGUGGUCUCAUUUACAGUGAAAUCUGUUCCUCUGUCAGGAUAAUUGUGGUAAAUCAGAACUUAAUGUAAAAAUGCAUUUAUUAUUUGGUAUUAAGGAAGAAGAAAAAAAAAUGCUAGAAAAUGCAUGGAUCAGGAAAACCUGAGUCAAAAAAUCCAGUCUCAGCAAUUAAUUCAGUCUCAGAAAUUUAUUGACUAUGUGACUUGACUUCUGUUUACCUCAGUUUCCCCAUCUAUAAAGGGGGAAAUGAAAUAAUAGUACCCACCUCUCAGGGUUGUU